CCACUGGAGACCCCUGGGGAGGGCCCAAGUAAGGUCGCGCUCCCUCGCUCUUCUGCUCCCUCCCCAGCAGCACUUGGGCCACCCGAGUCCACCGGACAACUCAGUCAAAGGAGCAAUCUGUCUCACUUUUCUGUCCCUUCACAAGCAAGUGAUAAGCCACUGGUGUUUAUAGCUCUCCCAGCAAAGGCGACUUUGCUGCUUUGUUCCCUGGAGAUUUCAAAUUACUUUCCACUCCUGCCUCCUCUCCAAACUGCCUGACCAUCCCUGUUACCUCUUCAGGCUGUCUUCCCUGCUUGCCUGGGUGUGGAGGUCGGUGAAGGAGAAGUCGUCCCCUGUGGGAUGGAUCACACAGCCGUUUGGCUGCCGCUGAGCACAGCCAGCUUGCACUCAAUCCCCACUGUGCCACUCAGAUUCUCAGACCUUCACAGCAAGUCUUCAGAGUCACUUUCCUCCUUUUCCCAGCACUGCUGCCCCUUGAAGCUUCCUGGCAAUUCCCUGAAGCCGAUCCUGUGGGAGAACUACCCACUCGAGUGAUUCAGGCCGCCUUCUUCACCUCCCACUCCAAGAGCAGAGAGCCAGGAGGUCGUCCCUAAUCCGCUAUUUUUGAUAAUCAAUCUACAUUCAACAUUUAAAAAAAUAAAUUUCAUGUGUAUAUUUAAGGCAUACAACAUGAUAUUAUGGGAUACUUAUAGAUAGUAAAAACCUUACUACAGUGAGGCAAAUUGAUGUAGAUACCCAUUUUUUUUUUGUUUCUUUUUCUUUGAGGGAGGAGUAGCUAAAUCUACUCAUUUAGCAUGCACCCCACAUCCAGCACAACGUCCCCACCUGCAGCCUGCAUGCUGCACGUUAGAGCUCUAGACGUGUUCCUCCUACAUACAGGCUGCUUCGUGUCCUCCGGCCUACACCUCCCACUUCCACCCCUGUUGCCUUUGUCAAAAAUGAAAUGACCAUAUAUGUGUGGAUCGGUUCCUGUGCUCUAAAUGCCAUUGAUCUGUCUAGCAUGAGGUUGUUUUGGCUGUUCUAGGCUUUUUGCAUUUCCAAACAAUUAAUUUUUGUGUAUUGUAUUCUGAAGCUUGUGUUAUAUCACAAGUGUUAUAUCACAAGUGUCACAACAGCAAUACGUGAUUUAACACUUAACACAUAAAUUUAACACAUAAAUCACUUAUGGCUUUUGUAUAUUUGUAUAUUUCAUCAACUUUUCUUUUACAUAGACUACCAUGUUGCCUGUGAAUAAAAAUAAUUUUAUUUUUUUCUUUCUAAUAUGAGUGUAUUUACUCAUU